CCUCAGCCUUAUAGUGUGUGUGGGGGGUGGACGAGGGGUCAUGAGGACAGGGAUGGGGCUGGGCGUCUCUGGUAAGGACCAGUAAGUGCCAGGCAGGACGUACUCUGAAGGCUCAGCCGUGGCCCAUCUGGGACACAGCCCUGCUCCCGAAGGGGCUCCAGGGGAACUGCUCAGCCAGGUGAUUCACCAGGGCACGGGCAGGCCAGGCUGAACCCGGGGCCCCAGUGUGCGAUGUGGGGAGGUGACUGGGUGAGCGUGAACAGGGCGUGGGGUGCGCGGGGCGGGUGGCCGUGUGACCGUGCCCGGCCCUCAGAAGACGAAGCAGCGCUCCGUGGGGUGGCCCACGUGGUCCAGGUUGGGAAGGCAGG
rnacentral:lncRNA from 1 species